rnacentral:lncRNA from 1 species
GAACUUUUGAAUUGGUAAACAUUAUUUAUUAAGUAAUAGAAAAUUAUUUAAUGAAAUGUGUCAAUGUUUUAUAGCAGAAAUUCCAUCGUCUGCCAUGAAAUUGGAAAAUUUAAAAUGGCAACUGAGAACAGAAAUAGUAUAUCCUCUGGUUUAACUAGCAUAUUAUGUAAAUAUUUUCCAUUCCCAGAUAGGGAGUAUAAAUUUUUACUGUUUAUUUUUAUUAAAUUAAGUAUUAUAGUAGUUAUAAUUUUGACCAUAGUCUGUCCUAUGAUUCCUGGUGCCCUAGACAAACUGAACAUUUAUAAACACUAUUAGAGGGUGGAUGUAGUAGGUUUAUGAUGAUAAAUAAUGUAGAGAAAGGAAUCAUCAAAUUGUGACAUCACACUUUUGUAAAGAUAGUUAAAAAGUUUUACAUUUCUGUGAUUUUUCAGUCAUAAUAAGUGGAUACUGUAUUUUUCAAAAAUAAUAUGUUUAUGCUUAAUUGUUUGAAAAAUACAGAUUGUAAUGUAAAAUACAGUAUUUGGAAAUAUAUUUGUUAUAAAAUGCAAGAUAUGUACAGAAGAUUCGCAGUUAUAUAGGAUUGAAUUAUUUGUGUUGCAGAUUAAUCAGAGUAAAUACGUAACCUGAAAAGUGAUCAUUUUUUUUUAAUAUUGGAUUAAUAUCUGAAAGAUUUUUAAAUGUUUCAAAUUCAUUCCUUUAUUAUAACUUAGAUAAUUGCCAUCAAAAUUAGAAUCAAAUUAAUAAUUAC